UGCGGGCCCGUGACUGAGGGAUCAUUGUCGAACCUGCCUAGCAGAACGACCCGAGAACAUGUUUCAACGCUUGGGGGCGGAGGGUCUUGCGGCUCUGCGCCCCCUUAUCCUGGGAGGCAAGUGUCUUGCGUGUUGCAUUUCGGUGCUUUCGCUUGAUCGACCCUCCCAGGCGUACUGAACACCGGCGUGAAUUGCGCCAAGGAACUUGAAUGAAAGAGCGUUCCCCCGCCGUCCCGGAGACGGUGCUCGUGCGGGUGGUUUCGUCGUCUUCAAUAUGUCUAAACGACUCUCGGCAACGGAUAUCUCGGCUCUCGCAUCGAUGAAGAACGUAGCGAAAUGCGAUACUUGGUGUGAAUUGCAGAAUCCCGUGAACCAUCGAGUCUUUGAACGCAAGUUGCGCCCGAAGCCAUUAGGCCGAGGGCACGUCUGCCUGGGCGUCACACGUCGUUGCCCCCCCCAACCCCCUCGGGAGUUGGGAUGGGACGGAUGAUGGCCUCCCGUGUGCUCAGUCACGCGGUUGGCAUAAAUACCAAGUCCUCGGCGACCAACGCCACGACAAUCGGUGGUUGUCAAAACCUCCGGUUUUUCCACUG
rnacentral:rRNA from 1 species